GACAAAAGUGUGCUGCUGGUCCUGUUGUGUCUGCAGGUUUUCCUGCUCAUCACAGCCUUCACCUCCACUGAUGCAGCCGUUGUGGAGAGGGAUGAUCCUCAACAGCUGCCUGUUAAACGGUUGAGACCUCGGACCCGUGGAAGUGGCUGUCCCAAAAGACCAGGAGCAUGUAGCCCUGUAGGAAACUCGUCUGUCCAUUUACCCGAUAAACACAAGACUGGAUCAUCCUGAGGAAACGAAGAGCUCAGAAACAUGACGGAGUGGCCAAUUUCACCUCACUCAAACAACAGAAGUUCCAAACAAACUUUUCCAGA